CCAUUUUUAAAGGACUUUUAUUGAGGACUUUUUAACACAUUUGUUUGUAUAUAUUACACACCAAUAAAUUUGUUAUUUUAUCCAAUACCCCACUCAAGUCCUUUUUUGGAGCCUCCAGAGAAUCUUCAUAGGGGUAGUGCCAUCCCCAUUCAAAUUGGCACAGAGUUUACACACCUAGAGCCAGGACCCAUAGGCUCAGAACCAGGUGAGCACCACAUUUACUAAUAUACCGUGUUUCUCAGAAAAUAAGACCGGGUCUUAUAUUAAUUUUAGUCACAAAAAACACACUAGGGCUUAUUUUCAGGGUAGGGCUUAUUUAUUUACGUUACCAGUAUGUACAGCUCUUUCUCUUUGCACUCAUCUUGUCUGGGGAUCAAAAUACCAUACUGUCUAAUUAAUCCACCCCCCUUUAAUAAAUCCACCCCCUCUAAUUAAUCC